AAACGACUCUCGGCAACGGAUAUCUCGGCUCUCGCAUCGAUGAAGAACGUAGCGAAAUGCGAUACUUGGUGUGAAUUGCAGAAUCCCGUGAACCAUCGAGUCUUUGAACGCAAGUUGCGCCCGAAGCCAUCCGGCUGAGGGCACGUCUGCCUGGGCGUCAAUC
rnacentral:rRNA from 1 species